rnacentral:rRNA from 1 species
GUGUCAGCAGCCGCGGUAAGACGAGGGGUCCAAGCGUUGUUCGGAAUCAUUGGGCGUAAAGCGGGUGUAGGUGGCUCUAUAAGUCAGAAGUGAAAUCCCCGAGCUUAACUUGGGAAGUGCUUUUGAAACUGCAGAGCUUGAAUGUGGGAGAGGAUCGUGGAAUUCCAGGUGUAGUGGUGAAAUACGUAGAUAUCUGGAGGAACACCGGUGGCGAAGGCGGCGAUCUGGCCCAACAUUGACACUGAGACCCGAAAGCGUGGGGAUCAAACAGGAUUAGAUACCCUGGUAGUCC